UGUACACGCUGUGACUAGCAUAUCAAUAAGCGGAGGAAAAGAAACUAACAAGGAUUCCCCUAGUAACGGCGAGUGAAGCGGGAAGAGCUCAAAUUUGAAAUCUUAAAGGGUUUCCCUUUACGAAUUGUAGUUUAAAGAAGUGUUUUCUGUUGAGGUUUUGGUAAAAGUUCUUUGGAAUAGGACAUCAUAGAGGGUGAGAAUCCCGUAUUUGACCUUUACUUUCAACUUUGUGAUACACUUUCAAAGAGUCGGAUUGUUUGGGAAUGCAGUCCAAAAUGGGUGGUAAAUUUCAUCUAAAGCUGAAUAUUGGCGAGAGACCGAUAGCGAACAAGUACCGUGAGGGAAAGAUGAAAAGAACUUUGAAAAGAGAGUUAAACAGUACGUGAAAUUGUCAAAAGGGAAGCGUUUGACACCAGUGUUGUUUUUCUGAAAAUCAAUUAAAGAACUGUUUAUGCUAAGUUGUUUAGACUUUAUCAGCUAUCUGUUUAGUUUUGAGCUUUUCUUUAAUGCACUUUUCAGUUAACAAGUCAACAUCAAUUUCUUUUGCUGUAAAAAAGCUUGAGGAAGGUGGCUUGAGAUUCGUCUUAAGUGUUUAUAGCCUCUUGCCUAUGCAGUCGGAGAGAUUGAGGUCUGCAGCGUAGAUCCUUCGGGGCUAAAUGCAUUUGUGCUAAGUUAUAGCAUUUUAUAGACAACUUGUUGACUAUGAUUUGUCUUGUAGCUUACUCGCUUAUGUUAUUUUACCUACGCUUAGGAUGUUGAGUCGUAGAGCACGCAG
rnacentral:rRNA from 1 species